rnacentral:rRNA from 1 species
AGCAGCCGCGGUAAUUCCAGCUCCAAUAGCGUAUAUUAAAGUUGUUGCAGUUAAAAAGCUCGUAGUUGAAUUUCGGGGUUAGUAGGUUGGUCGUGCCACUGGUAUGUACUGGUUCUACUGAUCCCUCCUUCUUGUAGAACCGUAAUGCCAUUCACUUGGUGUUGCGGGGAAACAGGACUGUUACUUUGAAAAAAUUAGAGUGUUUAAAGCAGGUUAACGCUUGAAUACAUUAGCAUGGAAUAAUGAAAUAGGACGUUCGAUCCUAUUUUGUUGGUUUCUAGGAUUGACGUAAUGAUUAAUAGGGAUAGUUGGGGGCAUUAGUAUUCAAUUGUCAGAGGUGAAAUUCUUGGAUUUAUUGAAGACUGACUACUGCGAAAGCAUUUGCCAAGGAUGUUUUCAUUAAUCAAGAACGAAAGUUAGGGGAUCGAAGACGAUCAGAUACCGUCGUAGUCUUAACCAUAAACUAUGCCGACUAGGGAUCGGAUGAUGUUAAUUUUUUAAUGACUCAUUCGGCGCCUUA